rnacentral:rRNA from 1 species
GAUGAACGCUAGCUACAGGCUUAACACAUGCAAGUCGAGGGGAAACGGCAUCGAAAGCUUGCUUUUGAUGGGCGUCGACCGGCGCACGGGUGAGUAACGCGUAUCCAACCUGCCCAUCACUUGGGAAUAACCUUGCGAAAGUAAGACUAAUGCCCAAUGACAUCCCACGAAGGCAUCCGAAUGGGAUUAAAGAUUUAUCGGUGAUGGAUGGGGAUGCGUCUGAUUAGCUUGUUGGCGGGGUGACGGCCCACCAAGGCAACGAUCAGUAGGGGUUCUGAGAGGAAGGUCCCCCACAUUGGAACUGAGACACGGUCCAAACUCCUACGGGAGGCAGCAGUGAGGAAUAUUGGUCAAUGGGCGAGAGCCUGAACCAGCCAAGUAGUGUGCAGGAUGACGGCCCUAUGGGUUGUAAACUGCUUUUAUAAGGGAAUAAAGUGGGUCACGUGUGACUUUUUGCAUGUACCUUAUGAAUAAGGACCGGCUAAUUCCGUG